CCGGCUUAUCCAUCUUCAAAAACAACCCAUUUAUCACCGUCGCGCCGUUCUCACUCGCCCUGUUCCUCAGGUACUGGUCCAGCACCUCCCGCCUCACCAUCCCAAUGUACUCGUGCGGCUUCAGGGUCUGCCCGAUGUCCACCGCCACGUUCGACGGAGAUAUCAUCUUCAUCUUGGUGACGCGGCGGUCGAUGAUGUCUAGCGGGAGGUCGAACUCGCCCACCAUGCAGAGCGGGAUGGCCCCGCCGCAGGGCUUGCAGUUGUCCAUCUUCCGCUCGAUGAGGAAUGUCUCGACGCCGCCCUUGGCUAGAGUUUCUGCGGCCGCACCGCCGGCGGGUCCGCCGCCUAUGACGGCGACGCGGAGGUUUCGACCAGUGACUUUUGGGCUGGUCUUGGCGGCUUUGACUUGGAGGGUUCGGCGGUUUGAGGAGUUCGGAGAAAUGGGUUUUGCUUGCAUUGUGAAAUGGGUUUUCUCCGCGGCGGUUUGGCGGAGGCCGAUGAAGGAUUUCAGGGCGAUGGAG
rnacentral:lncRNA from 1 species